CUGGUCAUCUUCUAUGACAUCUUCUUCUCCUUCUCCGGCCAGAUCUCCACCUAAUGCCUCUCCGAAAGGCAUCCACCAGGCGAUCCAUGGCCUCUACAGCCAGAUCUCAGCGAGCUUUGCAAGCUCCAGCCUCAUCUCCAGUUUCUCAAGCUCCUCCUCCUCCGACAACAGCAGUCGGUAUGGAGUAGUUUGACUUGCUGGUUCAGCAAGUCAGGGGCCUCAUCGAAGUAGUGCAGGCCAUGCAGCAGCAGCCACAGGCAUCAGUGCGGCUGGAAAGAGC
rnacentral:lncRNA from 1 species